UUGAACGCUGGCGGCAGGCCUAACACAUGCAAGUCGAGCGGAUGAAGGGAGCUUGCUCCUGGAUUCAGCGGCGGACGGGUGAGUAAUGCCUAGGAAUCUGCCUGGUAGUGGGGGAUAACGUCCGGAAACGGGCGCUAAUACCGCAUACGUCCUGAGGGAGAAAGUGGGGGAUCUUCGGACCUCACGCUAUCAGAUGAGCCUAGGUCGGAUUAGCUAGUUGGUGGGGUAAAGGCCUACCAAGGCGACGAUCCGUAACUGGUCUGAGAGGAUGAUCAGUCACACUGGAACUGAGACACGUUCCAGACUCCUACGGGAGGCAGCAGUGGGGAAUAUUGGACAAUGGGCGAAAGCCUGAUCCAGCCAUGCCGCGUGUGUGAAGAAGGUCUUCGGAUUGUAAAGCACUUUAAGUUGGGAGGAAGGGCAGUAAGUUAAUACCUUGCUGUUUUGACGUUACCAACAGAAUAAGCACCGGCUAACUUCGUG
rnacentral:rRNA from 1 species